AUCGCUUUUCGUCUCUGAGCUAAGAUCACGCGUAGUAUCUGUUCUUUGCAUCGUAAUUUCUUCAUUGGUCUCUAAACUGAGAUCAAUGAAAUUACCCGUAUUUUUCAUCUGUGGACGGGUUCCUCGAGCUUGCUCAACCCCAUCCACCGGUCGGCUUCGUAUUUCAUCGCAUUAACUGUUUGACUAUGAACUA
rnacentral:snRNA from 1 species